GGAAGAGUGGGGAAGUGGACGCGAGAAAAGGGGGGGUGAGAGAGUUAAUCGGAAUUAGGGGGCGUAAAGCGGUCGUAGGCGGGUAAGUAAGGAGGGUGUGAAAGCCCCGGGCGCAACCUGGGAACGGCAUUUGAGACUAAAUAACUAGGGUGUGGUAGAGGGAAGUAGAAUUUCAGGUGUAGCGGUGAAAUGCGUAGAUAUCGGAAGGAACACCAGUGGCGAAGGCGGCCUCCUGGACGAGCACCGACGUUCAGGCACGAAAGCAUGGGGAGCAAACAGGAUUAGAUACCCCUGUAGUC
rnacentral:rRNA from 1 species